rnacentral:pre_miRNA from 1 species
AACAACCGGGACUAAAGAUAUCUUGAUAUCUUUAACCGGGAGUAAAGAAAAGAUCUUUAGUCCCGGUUGUUCU